rnacentral:rRNA from 1 species
GGACCCGCACAAGCAGCGGAGCAUGUUGUUUAAUUCGAAGCAACGCGAAGAACCUUACCAAAUCUUGACAUCCCUCUGCCGUGCACUGUAGUGGUGCAUUUCCCUUCGGGGACAGAGGAGACAGGUGGUGCAUGGUUGUCGUCAGCUCGUGUCGUGAGAUGUUGGGUUAAGUCCCGCAACGAGCGCAACCCCUAUUUCUAGUUGCCAUCAGGUAAAGCUGGGCACUCUAGAGAGACUGCCGGAGACAAUCCGGAGGAAGGUGGGGAUGAUGUCAAAUCAUCAUGCCCUUUAUGAUUUGGGCUACAAACGUGCUACAAUGGUCGGUACAACGGGCAGCGAACCGGUAACGGGGAGCCAAUCUCAAAAAGCCGAUCUCAGUUCGGAUUGAGGGCUGCAACUCGCCCUCAUGAAGUUGGAGUUGCUAGUAAUCGCGGAUCAGCAUGCCGCGGUGAAUGCGUUCCCGGGUCUU